GGUCCGGUAGUUCAGUUGGUUAGAAUGCCUGCCUGUCACGCAGGAGGUCGCGGGUUCGNCUUCAGCGCCGAUGG
rnacentral:tRNA from 1 species